GUGAGAUGAAUUAAGUUGGCAAUGUAUGUGGAAAUGUUAAAAGUUGAAGUUAUCAGAUAAAAGAAAAGGGUAAAGAUUUAUGUAAAAUCAUGUGUAAUAUCAGAAGGCCUAAUUGUAAUUUCCAAAAUCAGAAUAUCAAUUCAUAAUUCACAAAAUCAUGUGCAAAAUCAGGAACCCUAAUUGCCAAUAUGCAAUUCACAAAAAAUCAGAAACCCCGUCUCUCUCCCAACAUUUCGAAAACCAUCACCCCAUUGUUGUCUUCUUCUUCACCCCAAACACCCACAAAAAAAAAAAAAAAAAAAAACAAGAGGAAGAAAAAGGUUGAACAAUAAUUGGGAAAAAGGACGGUGGUAAUAUUGGUGGAAAUCCCAACAACGCACCUUGGAAAAGAUGCAACAACGUCGACGAUCACGUCCGGUUCCAACGCUAACGACGAGGCGAGGAAAGUGCAGUCACGGGUGAAGGUGGUGUUGUAGUGGCCUCACGCAAAGAAAAUGAAGGUGAGUGUGGUAGGUUUCCUUCUCUCUUGUUGUGGUUGAAUUGGAAAACAAAUGAAGAAAGGUAGAUUAUGAAUGUUGAAACGGGUUGCAGUUCUAGUAGGCGGGAUUCUUCCAAUUGCACCUUCAACGAACCAUGAACCCAAAUUGAAGAUCACUUUCACCAAAUUCUUGAACCCCAAACGCGAAUGGAUUCUAACCUAAUUGUAAUUUUAUUUAACUCUCAGUUAAACUUUUUCCACGUCAUUCAUUUUUAUUUUUAAAAUUUACACCUUAAAAUAUAUCAAACGUACCACGUAUUGGAAAACUGUACACAUCAUUCACUUUUGGCCACAGAGGCAAUUGCACCGGUAUGUUUUUAACACCGUAAGCCAAAAUAACUAGCUUGAACCGUUUUUAAUGAAAUAUGGGACAAUAGUGAACUUUUGAAAAAGGGAGGACGACUUUGAACACAACGCCUCAAACUAGGGACCAAAUGAUGUAUUAGGCCUUUCAAGAAAAACCAAAACCCAAUUCGAAAAACCUAAUCCCGAAUUUGCAAGAACAAAAUUGCAAGUAAGAUCAUAAACACAAAGAAAACCUUAAAAACACUGCAAGUCCAAAAAUCCCAAAAAUUCCCAAACUAGAAAAGAAGAUCAAAAACUCCAAACUCGCUACAAGGUCGAAAAAAACCUUAAUCGUAGAAACCCUAACCCUAAAUCUCGAAAAACA
rnacentral:lncRNA from 1 species